GAAACCCGGUGAUCUAGCCAUGGGCAGGUUGAAGGUUGGGUAACACUAACUGGAGGACCGAACCGACUAAUGUUGAAAAAUUAGCGGAUGACUUGUGGCUGGGGGUGAAAGGCCAAUCAAACCGGGAGAUAGCUGGUUCUCCCCGAAAGCUAUUUAGGUAGCGCCUCGUGAAUUCAUCUCCGGGGGUAGAGCACUGUUUCGGCAAGGGGGUCAUCCCGACUUACCAACCCGAUGCAAACUGCGAAUACCGGAGAAUGUUAUCACGGGAGACACACGGCGGGUGCUAACGUCCGUCGUGAAGAGGGAAACAACCCAGACCGCCAGCUAAGGUCCCAAAGUCAUGGUUAAGUGGGAAACGAUGUGGGAAGGCCCAGACAGCCAGGAUGUUGGCUUAGAAGCAGCCAUCAUUUAAAGAAAGCGUAAUAGCUCACUGGUCGAGUCGGCCUGCGCGGAAGAUGUAACGGGGCUAAACCAUGCACCGAAGCUGCGGCAGCGACGCUUAUGCGUUGUUGGGUAGGGGAGCGUUCUGUAAGCCUGUGAAGGUGGCCUGUGAGGGUUGCUGGAGGUAUCAGAAGUGCGAAUGCUGACAUAAGUAACGAUAAAGCGGGUGAAAAGCCCGCUCGCCGGAAGACCAAGGGUUCCUGUCCAACGUUAAUCGGGGCAGGGUGAGUCGACCCCUAAGGCGAGGCCGAAAGGCGUAGUCGAUGGGAAACAGGUUAAUAUUCCUGUACUUGGUGUUACUGCGAAGGGGGGACGGAGAAGGCUAUGUUGGCCGGGCGACGGUUGUCCCGGUUUAAGCGUGUAGGCUGGUUUUCCAGGCAAAUCCGGAAAACCAAGGCUGAGGCGUGAUGACGAGGCACUACGGUGCUGAAGUGACAAAUGCCCUGCUUCCAGGAAAAGCCUCUAAGCAUCAGGUAACAUCAAAUCGUACCCCAAACCGACACAGGUGGUCAGGUAGAGAAUACCAAGGCGCUUGAGAGAACUCGGGUGAAGGAACUAGGCAAAAUGGUGCCGUAACUUCGGGAGAAGGCACGCUGAUAUGUAGGUGAAGCGACUUGCUCGUGGAGCUGAAAUCAGUCGAAGAUACCAGCUGGCUGCAACUGUUUAUUAAAAACACAGCACUGUGCAAACACGAAAGUGGACGUAUACGGUGUGACGCCUGCCCGGUGCCGGAAGGUUAAUUGAUGGGGUUAGCGGUAACGCGAAGCUCUUGAUCGAAGCCCCGGUAAACGGCGGCCGUAACUAUAACGGUCCUAAGGUAGCGAAAUUCCUUGUCGGGUAAGUUCCGACCUGCACGAAUGGCGUAAUGAUGGCCAGGCUGUCUCCACCCGAGACUCAGUGAAAUUGAACUCGCUGUGAAGAUGCAGUGUACCCGCGGCAAGACGGAAAGACCCCGUGAACCUUUACUAUAGCUUGACACUGAACAUUGAGCCUUGAUGUGUAGGAUAGGUGGGAGGCUUUGAAGUGUGGACGCCAGUCUGCAUGGAGCCGACCUUGAAAUACCACCCUUUAAUGUUUGAUGUUCUAACGUGGGCCCGUAAUCCGGGUUGCGGACAGUGUCUGGUGGGUAGUUUGACUGGGGCGGUCUCCUCCUAAAGAGUAACGGAGGAGCACGAAGGUUGGCUAAUCCUGGUCGGACAUCAGGAGGUUAGUGCAAUGGCAUAAGCCAGCUUGACUGCGAGCGUGACGGCGCGAGCAGGUGCGAAAGCAGGUCAUAGUGAUCCGGUGGUUCUGAAUGGAAGGGCCAUCGCUCAACGGAUAAAAGGUACUCCGGGGAUAACAGGCUGAUACCGCCCAAGAGUUCAUAUCGACGGCGGUGUUUGGCACCUCGAUGUCGGCUCAUCACAUCCUGGGGCUGAAGUAGGUCCCAAGGGUAUGGCUGUUCGCCAUUUAAAGUGGUACGCGAGCUGGGUUUAGAACGUCGUGAGACAGUUCGGUCCCUAUCUGCCGUGGGCGCUGGAGAACUGAGGGGGGCUGCUCCUAGUACGAGAGGACCGGAGUGGACGCAUCACUGGUGUUCGGGUUGUCAUGCCAAUGGCACUGCCCGGUAGCUAAAUGCGGAAGAGAUAAGUGCUGAAAGCAUCUAAGCACGAAACUUGCC
rnacentral:rRNA from 1 species